UUCACGUUGAGACCAGAAACAACUUUAAAAACUGAGAGUAUUCUGAAAAUCUUUAAGAGUAAGAACAAAA
rnacentral:ncRNA from 1 species